UACGGAGGAGGCAAGCGUUAUCCGGAAUUAUUGGGCGUAAAGCGUCCGUAGGUGGUGGUGCAAGUCUAUUGUCAAAGCGUGGAGCUUAACUCCAUAAAGGCAGUGGAAACUGCAUCGCUAGAGUGCGACAGGGGCAAGGGGAAUUCCUAGUGUAGCGGUGAAAUGCGUAGAGAUUAGGAAGAACACCGGUGGCGAAAGCGCCUUGCUGGGUCUGCACUGACACUGAUGGACGAAAGCCAGGGGAGCGAAAGGG
rnacentral:rRNA from 1 species